CAGCACCUCAAGUGGUCAGGAUGAUUAUUGGGCCUAAAGCAUCCGUAGCCGGCGCUGUAAGUUUUCGGUUAAAUCUGUACGCUCAACGUACAGGCUGCCGGGAAUACUGCAGCGCUAGGGAGUGGGAGAGGUAGACGGUACUCGGUAGGAAGGGGUAAAAUCCUUUGAUCUAUUGAUGACUACCUGUGGCGAAGGCGGUCUACCAGAACACGUCCGACGGUGAGGGAUGAAAGCUGGGGGAGCAAACCGGAUUAGAUACCCGAGUAGUCC
rnacentral:rRNA from 1 species